AGCGUCCUCAGUGAACCUGCUUUUGCAACCAGUCAAUGUCAACCCCGUGCUUCGGCCAAACAGGGACAAACCCACGCCGGAAAAUGUCUGUGAGAACAACCAACCAACAGCAGUCAAACUCAGGUAUUGAGUGACGGUCUCAUCAUCACAUGAAUUUUCUGUGUCUCGUGCUUAAAUGUGAGAGGAUCGAUUAACCCGUAUGUUCAUCGACCCUUUCGCAAGCGCUUUAUAUGCGCCUGUCUUUGCGCUUGGUGUUGGGGGCACAGACGGAAUAGGAUGCGAUCGAUCCCUCUCUCAGAGGAACUUUCAGGCCAGGAAGCACAAGGCUAGAACAUGAAUAAUAAUCACGGCGCGGGAAGAACCGUCCAAGGGCUACAGAGGAGGAAGGAAUAAGUGCCAACGGGGAGAGGAAGACAGAGAAGCACUUCAGGGUGGUGUUUGGGUGAGGUUUCAAUGAUGUAGCUGUGUUCUCCAGACAAAGAAAAGGGAGAGGGUAUCCCAGGGGCAGGGAAGAGAAUGGGCAAAACCCCCGGAGACCUGAAAGAGCGCACCGGCCUCAGCGAUGGUGAGGAGGACGGCAGACAUCAGCAUUCUCGGGAAGGCUGGAGGAGCAGGGAGGAGCCCGGUUGGGAAGGGUCCCCAAGGCUGUAGCCACCGGGCAGUUUGGUUUAAGCUCGUUCGACUCAGUCUUCUCCUUGAUAAUAUAGAAAUAAAGUAGAAUUACCUA